CCUACGCCACCCUCCUCUCUCUGUCUUCCCUGCGCCUCGCCCGAAGCGCCCCCUAUGCCCUACCCUCUCUCUCUCUCUUCCCCGCGCCGCCCUCUCUCUACCCUUUCCUCUCGCAGCACCUUUCGAUUUCUCUCUCUAUAUACGCCUCUCUCUACCUUACCUGAAGCAACUCUCUCUCUAUCUCCUCUCUACUGCCCCUCUCUCUCUCGCUCUUCCCUCCUCCGGUGUAUCCAUGCGUGAUCUCGCGGAUUGCUCUCUGUUGAGCGAUCCUAUCUGCGGGAUUCUCUCACAUCGCGGAAUAGAUCUGCUCGGUUUCCCCGCUUCCGAUCCAACAGUGGUACUUUACUUUACCCUAAUUAUGGCUACUGAGGUAAUUUACCCCUACCCCUAACCCUUCGUUGCCUUCGUUGCCGCCCUAAUCUGAUAUGAUGGUGUGAUGGCGCGCCUUCGCCGCCGCCUUAAUCUGAUGUUUGUAUGAUGGCGAGGCUAUGUUGUGCAGCAAGUGGUUUACUGUUUCAAAUCGAUUAUACUUGCUGGUUUCUCUUCUCUUCCAACUAUCAUGUCUGCUAGAUCUCCCCCAAUUUACAAGAUCUCCGAAAUCUCAAUAAAAAAAACUAAAAAAAACUGAUGCGUGUGUGAUGGCGAGGCUAUGUUGUGCAGCAAGUGGUUUACUGUUUCAAAUCGAUUAUACUUGCUGGUUUCUCUUCUCUUCCAACUAGCAUGUCUGCUAGAUCUCCCCCAAUUUGCAAGAUCUCCGAAAUCUCAAUAAAAAAAAAUGAUGCUGCUGGAUUUUCUAAUGUAAUGAUGUCUAGAUGUGAUCUACAGGAUCUUUCUUAGAUUGCCAGAUCUUUGCAAUUAAUUGAGGGCUUCUCUUAGCUCUAUUGCCUUCUCCAUGGUCUCCAUGCUCCUGUAUUUGUUGUAUGCAGGAGGCAUUAUAAAUAGUGCCAACUGUUCCACAGUACGGCAUUAAAUCUGUGCCUGCUCUUUUGUGCCCCGAAUAACUUAUUGCAUGUUUUCUCCCACGCCUUGCAUGUGAUGUUUUUUUUGAGCUAAACUUGAUAAAUGUGGAAUAAGGAGCUGAAUGUAGGUGCUGAAAUAUGCUGAAACUAUUUUGGACGGGCUGCUCCUAACGCAGCGACCUCGGCAGGGACAUAGCACCUUAGCCUUGGAGUUUUCUUUUUAUAUUUUUGGAACAGUACCUUUCAGGUGGUACCUCCUGAUCUGCUCUUGACUGAUUGUCAUGGCACCUGAGCCUUCAAGUUUUUCUUUUAUAUUUUUUACCCCUAGACUUCAGGUGGUAACUCCUGAACUGCUCUCCACUGUUUCUUUGCUUACUUUCUUAUGCCUUGAGUCUAUAUUUUGCACGACUGCAUAUGUGUUUCUUUAGGGUGGGAUCAACCCAUAAUUCUUUCCUGCAGCAACUUACCUAAGAACUUACUGUCUUUUUUUUUACUUUAAACUGUUCCAAAAUAAUAUUCUCCCUUCCUCUUUUCUUUAUGUAGUGAAUGUGUUGAAGCAAGAAUUGUCGGCUGCAAUAUUUCCUGCUCGGCUCUGUGCUUUCAUGACUGCUUAGUUCUGUCCUUCCAUGAACUAAGAUGAACUAAGGUGCCAAAACUUCACCACAAAAUUAUUCAGAUUGCUUUCAUUUCUUUAGCCAGUUAAUGUGUUGGGAAUCAAUUCUUUACUUCAAUGCACUAAGGUUUCUUGAGCCUACACAGGAAGAUGCAGAAGAUGCAGAGAAGAAUGAAGAUUAAGAGAAGAAGGAAGAUACAGAGAAGAAUGAAGAUUAAGAGAAGAAUUGAUAAAUCAUUUACCACUGCCACUGCUUCACAUUUAUAAUUGUUUACUUAUUUUA